rnacentral:lncRNA from 1 species
GCUGCACCACACACCUUCUCUGUUCCACACACAGGCCUUUUAAAGGCUAAAAAAACCGAUUAGAUUAGCAUAAGGAGUCCUUAGAUCAUCCGAAAAAGCUCCUGGAACUGUUGGACUAAAAUCGAAAUCAACCCACGCAGUCAGAUUGCGCAUCGGUCUAUGGAACAGUGCCGUGGACCACAAAAAAUAUGUGAAAAAUGC